rnacentral:rRNA from 1 species
CUUACCGGGUCCGGACACACUGAGGAUUGACAGGCGCUUGCAUACGCGCGUGCUUCUUUGCUUCGGCUUAGUCGCAUCGCGCCAAUGCUUUCAAAUAUGCUAGUCCUUUCAUGAUUGUGUGAUAGGUGGUGCAUGGCCGUUCUUAGUUCGUGGAGUGAUCUGUCUGCUUAAUUGCGUUUCACAAGGGACUUGCAUGGCAUACGUUGGGGCAUGGCGCCCUCCUCGUCGCCCCUUCACCGGGUUGCUGAUGUGUGAGAGUUGCGCCUGCCUUUCAAUAGCCAACAGUACCGAAGGCAACGAACGUGACCCCAACCUCUAGUUACCCUUCUGUUUUCCACUUCGGUGUCGUACCCCUUUUAGGGGCGUGACGCUGUCGAGGGGGGUUAUCUAGAGGGACUGCCGACGUUUUCAAACCGGAGGAAGGUUGGGGCAAUAACAGGUCUGUGAUGCCCUUAGAUGUUCCGGGCUGCACACGUGCUACAAUGAUUAUUGCAGUGAGCAUCUUCAACAGUUCGUGGGAUAUCUGCGCUGCGGCCAUUUGGCUUGGCUGGCGUUGGGAUCAGCACCUGGUCUGUGGACUGCUAGCUUCCAGCAAUGGGGGCCUGUGGUCUGCUGUGCCAGGGGUUGGAACCACGCUGCUGGCUUUGGCUGUGGUGCGUAUCCGUUAUCACGACAUGCCUGCCUCGAAAGUAGGCAGGUAAUCAAUUCGAAGUAAUGACUACCACCCGCACUAAUUAGUUCGUGCCAUGGCCUUGGGCUUGUCUCAAGUGCCUGUGCGCGGGCGUGCUCCAUAACUUCGUGGUGGGGACAGACCCUUGUUAAUUGUUGGUCUCGGUCUCAACUAGGAAUGCCUUGUACGGGUCUUUGGUUCAACAAACCACCCGGAAUAUGUCCCUGCCCUUUGUACACACCGCCCGUCGCUCUUACCGAUGGACUUCUCUGUGAGUUUGAGGGACUAGGACGGCGCCGUCGCCUUCGGGUGAAUGUGUAGCUGUCUCACAGAAACUUAUGCGAACAGUGUGGUCUAAAGGAAAGAGAAGUCGUAACAAGGCAUCGGUAGGCGAACC